rnacentral:rRNA from 1 species
UACGGAGGGAGCUAGCGCUGUUCGGAAUUACUGGGCGUAAAGCGCACGUAGGCGGGUACUCAAGUCAGAGGGGCAAGCCCGGGGCUCAACUCCGGAACUGCCUUUGAAACUAGGUAACUAGAAUCUUGGAGAGGCGAGUGGAAUUCCGAGUGUAGAGGGGAGAUUCGUAGAUAUUCGGGAGAACACCAGUGGCGAAGGCGACUCGCUGGACAAGUAUUGACGCUGAGGUGCGCGAGCGUGGGGAGCAAACAGG